rnacentral:rRNA from 1 species
CAGCAGCCACGGGAAUACAGAGGGUGCGAGCGUUAAUCGGAUUUACUGGGCGUAAAGCGUGCGUAGGCGGCUUUUUAAGUCGGAUGUGAAAUCCCUGAGCUUAACUUAGGAAUUGCAUUCGAUACUGGGAAGCUAGAGUAUGGGAGAGGAUGGUAGAAUUCCAGGUGUAGCGGUGAAAUGCGUAGAGAUCUGGAGGAAUACCGAUGGCGAAGGCAGCCAUCUGGCCUAAUACUGACGCUGAGGUACGAAAGCAUGGGGAGCAAACAGGAUUAGAGACCCGAGUAGUCCCUGUCUCUUAUAC